UACGAAGGCUCCAAGCGUUAUCCGGAUUUAUUGGGCGUAAAGAGUGCGCAGGAGGUCUUGCGCGUCUCGCGUUAAAUACCACAGCCUAACUGUGGAACUGCGUGGGAUACGGCAAGACUAGAGCGUGUUAGAGGUUACUAGAACUUAUGGUGUAGGGGUGAAAUCCGUUGAUAUCAUAGGGAAUACCAAAGGCGAAGGCAUGUAACUGGAACACUGCUGACUCUCAUGCACGAAAGCGUGGGGAGCAAAAAGGAUUAGAUACCCCGGUAGUCC
rnacentral:rRNA from 1 species